GAUGAAGAACGCAGCGAAAUGCGAUAAGUAGUGUGAAUUGCAGAAUUCAGCGAAUCAUCGAAUCUUUGAACGCACAUUGCGCCCCUUGGUAUCCCGAGGGGCAUGCCUGUUCGAGCGUCAUUUCACCACUCAAGCCUGGCUUGGUGUUGGGCGACGUCCUCUUUGGGGACGCGCCUCGAAACGCUCGGCGGCGUGGCACCGGCUUUAAGCGUAGCAGAAUCUUUCGCUUUGGAAGUCGGGGCCCCGUCUGCCGGAAGACCUGCUCGCAAGGUUGACCUCGGAUCAGGCAGGGAUACCCGCUGAACUUAAGCAUAUCAAUAAGCGGAGGA
rnacentral:misc_RNA from 1 species